UGAAUUUUAGUGUAUAAUAAGCACUAUCAAUUUUGAAUUGGUAAGUUUUAUUCAA
rnacentral:tRNA from 1 species